UAAUGAGCAGCUAGUAGUCUCAUUUAGGGACAUUCACCUGCCUGGGCACAGUGGAGAUGAUUAGAUGAGAACCGGCCCUUUCAGGUUAGUACCCAAGGAUCCACUUUCUAAAAGGAGAGUGCCUGCACAGAUUAAUUUUUGAGCCAAGCUGGUCUUGCAAGGCUGGGUCUCUUCCCUCACUCUGCUCUUACUGCAUCCUCCACUGCAAAGCACCAGGCCGGGACGAGCAGAGGCAGACAUUGAAGCAAGAGUUUCUGGGAGGUGCUCUGUAGCUCCAUUAUCAUGACUGCUGUUUGAACGCUGUACUGUAGAAGGCACAGACUGAGAUGCUGGAUCAACUGCGCAUGCCUGUCUUUGUGACCGGCUGCUAUCGAUCCUUCCGAGCCCGUGUGCCACGCUGGAAAGCUGCAUCUAAGAGUUAAGAUUUACUGGCUUAAAAGCGUGUGUGUCGUGGGAUUGCGCGGUGGCUCAAUUGUGAGAAUUCAAUGUGAACAUCUUUGAAAUGCAGUUUCAAAUCUCCCACACGCUGACAAGAGCCACGUGAACCAUUGUGCAGCACUGCACCCAUUUGACAGAUGAGAGCAUGGAUACCUAACCGGAGCCUGGCAGGUCUUGGACAGCAGAGGCCACCCUGCAUCUGACACCAUCUCUUGUAAUCCAUGACUUCUCUUCCUGCCUCCAUGAAUCUCCAGAUAACAGAUUCCUGCCCUCCUAAAAGAUGGGACAAGACAAACACCAAAGGGCAGUGUUGGACUGCAGGGGGGACCAGGAGACCUUACUGACUCGUCGGCAAUAAAGUUUGUGUGGAACUGACAUCCUAGCAGGCUCCUGGGCGAUGCAGAUGCUGGCAUUCUGGGCACUGCCCUUUGGAAAGCUAUGAUGACCACUGAAGCAGAACAGACCAAAGCAAAGAGGUGGGAAAGUCGCGAGAAGAUACAGGACUGGCUGGGAUACAUCAGGAAGAGGAGCUGCGAUGGAUGGGACUUCAAAUGGAAGUUGGUGAUUAUAUCCGUCCCAGCACCUCCCGCCUUGCAAGAGAGGCCUUAUAAAUCCUGGUCACAAGGAAGGGAAACAGAAGCUCAAGGAAGAGAGAGCCAUGGCUUCCUAGGUGUCAGUGAAGACCCAGACGCUGAAACUAUAACCGCCUAGUUCAGAAACCUAUACUUUGCUUGACCACAAUCCAAGCAGGGGGUGGGGAUGGGAUGUUUUUCUGCAGGGCUGGACAUAGAGUCAGUGUUCAGAGCACAUUGUUGGAGAGAGGAAGGAUGGGUGAGUGAAUAAGUGAAGAAAUGAAUGAGAGAACAGAACCACUUUGAGAGCCUGGAAACCGGGACCUCACGCUCUGUGACCUCACGCUCCAACUUCCCCUCCUCCCCGAGUCUGAUCUGAAAGGUGACCCCCGUUCCUCUCGCCCAGGUGAUAAAGCCAGGUGCAGGUGCACCUGUUACCCAAACCUGAUAUCCAAAUAGGAAGUAAGGCUGAGAUAAGGCUGUGGAGGGCAGUGCCUGGAAUCACGGGGUUGGGCUGGCCAUUGGCUUGAUGCCACAAGUGUCCACCGAGCCUCUCCUAAAGGUUGAGCUCUAUGCCAGGUUCCUUCAGGGUGAGGCAGGAAGCCACGCAGCUCCUGACCUCCAACAGCUUAUGGAAAAAAAAAAUACUUACAAACAGGAUGUGGGUCGGGCAAAGGGAGAAGUGUGAAGCAGGUGGCCAUUGCUCCCUGACAGCUCCAACAGGGAGUUGGGACUGAGAGAUGAGAAGAAAUGAGGCAGUAGUUAGUGAUGCCAGGGGAGGGGCCUGACCCUUGCACUGCCAUUGCUGAGGAAUAAGAGGUCCUUAAAGUUUAGCUCCUCAGACCCAGACCCCUCCCCAGUCCUCCUAC
rnacentral:lncRNA from 1 species